UCAAGCUACAAAGAGCACAAGGGGAAUGCCUUGGCACCGAGAGCCGAAGAAGGACGUGACUAACUGCGAUAAGCUGCGGGGAGCCGUAAGUAGGCUUUGAUCCGCAGAUUUCCGAAUGGAGCAAUCCGGCAAGAGGAAAGUCUUGUCAUCAUAUACUGAAUACAUAGGUAUAUGAGGGGAACCGCCUGAACUGAAACAUCUAAGUAGGGCGAGGAAGAGAAAUCAACUGAGAUUCCGUAAGUAGUGGCGAGCGAACGCGGAAGAGGCCAAACCGAGAGUAGUAAUACUUUCGGGGUUCGGACAGAAUACGGUAUUGUAAAGGUUUAGUGGAAUGGAAUGGGAAGUCCAACCGAAGAAGGUGAGAGUCCUGUACACGAAAAGCCUGAGCAGCCAUCUGUAUCCAGAGUACCGCCGGACACGUGAAACCCGGUGGGAAUAUGGGGGGACCAUCCUCCAAGCCUAAAUACUACUCGGUGACCGAUAGUGAAGAAGUACUGUGAAGGAAAGGUGAAAAGUACCCCUGACGGGGAGUGAAAAAGAACCUGAAACCUUGUGUUUACAAGCACCGAAAGCUCAUCAAAGAGCGAUCGGGUACCUUUUGUAGAAUGGUCCGGCGAGUGAAUGUAACCGGCGAGGUUAAGCACUUAAGGUGUGAAGCCGCAGCGAGAGCAAGUCUGAAUAGGGCGUAUGAAGUCGGUUGUAUUCGACCCGAAACCGGGUGACCUACCCAUGGUCAGGUUGAAGUAAAGGUAAAACUUUAUGGAGGACCGAACCGACUCCCGUUGAAAUGGUAGCGGAUGAACUGUGGGUAGCGGAGAAAUUCCAAUCGAACCCGGAGAUAGCUGGUUCUCUCCGAAAUAGCUUUAGGGCUAGCCUUGAAAUAGAUUACCGGAGGUAAAGCACUGAAUUGGCUAGGGGCCGAGAGGUUACUGAACCUUAUCAAACUAAGAAUGCCGGAUAAUCGUUUUUCAGGAGUCAGACAGUGGGAGAUAAGUUUCAUUGUCAAAAGGGAAACAGCCCAGACCCACAGCUAAGGUCCCCAAGUAUAGUUAAGUGGAAAAGGAUGUGGAAUUGCACAGACAACCAGGAUGUUGGCUUAGAAGCAGCCACUCAUUAAAAGAGUGCGUAAUAGCUCACUGGUCGAGUGACUCUGCGCCGAAAAUUUAACGGGGCUAAACUAUACACCGAAGCUUGGGAUACAUCUAAUGUAUGGUAGGAGAGCGUUCUGUAUGGGGAGAAGUCGUAGCGAAAGCGGCGGUGGACUAUACAGAAGUGAGAAUGCCGGAAUAAGUAGCGAGAAUUAAGUGAGAAUCUUAAUGGCCGAAAGUCUAAGGUUUUUGGAGGAAGGUUCGUCCGCUCCAAGUAAGUCGGGAGCUAAGGUCAGGCCGAAAGGCGUAGCCGAUGCACAUACGGUUGAUAUUCCGUAACCAUCUGUAAUUUAAGCAAAGGGACACUUCAAAAGGGUGUGACCCGGGCGUUGGUUGACCCGGGCGUAAGGGACCGAAAUUAGAGUAGGGAAGCACACUUGGCUGAAGGCGAGAAAAGCUUUGCGUAUAGAAACAGAUGCCCGUACCGCAAACCGACACAGGUGGACAGGAAGAGAAUUCUAAGGCCAGCGGGAGAAGGGUAGUUAAGGAACUCGGCAAAUUGACUCCGUAACUUCGGAAUAAGGAGUGCUCGAAAGAGCCGCAGAGAAUAGGCCCAGGCGACUGUUUAGCAAAAACACAGGUCUCUGCCAAAUCGAAAGAUGAAGUAUAGGGGCUGACACCUGCCCGGUGCCGGAAGGUUAAGAGGAGGAGUGAGAGCUCCGAAUUGAAGCCCCGGUAAACGGCGGCCGUAACUAUAACGGUCCUAAGGUAGCGAAAUUCCUUGUCGGGUAAGUUCCGACCCGCACGAAUGG
rnacentral:rRNA from 1 species